UUCUGUGAAGUUCAUUAUCUCCAAAGCAUCUUCAAAGUGAAUUAGGCACCUUAGUUAAAUUAGUUCAAGUGCUCUUUUAACACACAGUGGUGCUUGAAAGUUUGUGAAAGUUAGAAUUUUCUGUAUUUCUGCAUAAACAUGACUUAAAGCAUUUUCACACGAGUCCUAAAAGUAGAUAAAGAGAACCCAGUUAAACAAAUGCGACAAAAAUAUUAUGCGUGGUCGUUUAUUUAUUGAGGAAAAUGAUCUAAUGUUAUACAUCUGUGAGUGGCAAAAGUAUGUGCACCUUUGCUUUCAGUAUCAGGUGUGACCCCCUUGUGCAGUAAUAAAUGUAAAUAAACGUUUCCGGUAACUGUCGAUCAGUCCUGCACAUCGCCUCGGAGGAAUUUUAUACCGUUCCUCAGUACAGAACGGCUUCAACUCUGGGAUGUUGGUGGGUUUCCUCACAUGAACUGCUCGCUUCAGGUAGAGCAACUCGUGUGAUUAGGGUCCUUGUCUUGCUGCAUGACCCGAUUUCUCUUGAGAUUCAGUUCAUGAACAGAUGUCCUGACGUUUUCCUUUAGAGUUCGCUGGUAUAAUUCAGAAUGCAUUGUUCUAUCAAUGAUGUCGAGUCGUCCUGGACCAGAAGCAGCAAAACAGGCCCAAACCAUGACACUACCACCACCAUGUUUCACAGAUGGGAUAAGAGAGCAGUGGCUUUCUCCUUGCAACCCUGCCAUGCACACCAUUGUUGUUCAGUGUUCUCCUGAUGGUGGACUCAUGAACGUGAACAUUAACAUUAGCCAAUGUGAGAGAGGACUUUAGUUGCUAAGAAGCUACUCUGGGUUCCUUUGUGACCUCGUGGACUGUUACACGUCUUGCUCUUGGAGUGAUC